CUGUCAUCACUUGUGCUGCUGUUAACACUCUGUCGAUCAUCAUCAUCACUCAGAGCAGUGGCGAUGUAUUCAGACAACCUCUUCUCCAUCAGGGCUACUCGUAUCCAGGCCCGACCCUGAAGGAGACAACAAAGUGAGCAGAGGGUGGAGUAUGGGCUAACAGCAUGAGACCUCAUGGAAACAAGGAGCUGCAGAAGGAGGAACCCCACAGUGUUUGACCAAAAAAAUGAUUGCAG